rnacentral:other from 2 species
GAAACUCUAAAGUGUACGCGUUGUUCAUACUACAGUUUUGCCUUACAGUCUUACGACAUCGGGACUAGUGUUCGUUAUAUGGAUAACAUGCCUUAUCGCUUGGUAGUUAGAGAUAUAACAACCGUGACCCACCUGUUUUUAACACAGGUCAACACUGACGAACGAUUAACGGCACCGUUGAGUUUCU